CCUACGGGAGACAGCAGUGAGGAAUAUUGGUCAAUGGCCGGAAGGCUGAACCAGCCAUGCCGCGUGAAGGUCAGUGCCCUAUGGGCGUUAAACUUCUUUUGUGCGGGAGCAAUAAUGGUCACGUGUGGCCAGACGAGAGUACCGUACGAAUAAGCAUCGGCUAACUACGUGCCAGCAGCCGCGGUAAUCCGGGGGUGGCAGGCGUUAUCCGGAUUUAUUGGGCUUAAAGGGUGCGUAGGUUGUGAGGUAAGUCAGCGGUGAAAUGCCCCCGCGCAACGGGGUGAAGUGCCAUUGAUACUGCCUUGCUGGACUGCGCAUGCAGUGGGAGGAAUGUGUGGUGUAGCGGUGAAAUGCAUAGAUAUCACACAGAACACCGAUUGCGAAGGCAUCUCACGAAUCCGCGAUUGACGCUGAUGCACGAAAGCGUGGGUAUCAAACAGGAUUAGAUACCCGUGUAGUC
rnacentral:rRNA from 1 species